rnacentral:rRNA from 1 species
AUUGAACGCUGGCGGCAUGCUUUACACAUGCAAGUCGAACGGUAACAGGUUAAGCUGACGAGUGGCGAACGGGUGAGUAAUGCAUCGGAACGUGCCCGGUCGUGGGGGAUAACACUUCGAAAGAAGUGCUAAUACCGCAUACGAUCUGAGGAUGAAAGCGGGGGACCGUAAGGCCUCGCGCGAACGGAGCGGCCGAAGUCAGAUUAGGUAGUUGGUGGGGUAAAGGCCCACCAAGCCGACGAUCUGUAGCUGGUCUGAGAGGACGACCAGCCACACUGGGACUGAGACACGGCCCAGACUCCUACGGGAGGCAGCAGUGGGGAAUUUUGGACAAUGGGCGCAAGCCUGAUCCAGCAAUGCCGCGUGCAGGAAGAAGGCCUUCGGGUUGUAAACUGCUUUUGUACGGAGCGAAAAGGCUCCCUCUAAUACAGGGGGCUGAUGACGGUACCGUAAGAAUAAGCACCGGCUAACUACGUGCCAGCAGCCGCCGCGG